ACGAGAAAUCACAUAUCUCAAAGGUUUUGUUGAUUUAAUGUAAAAUGUGGGAAUAUAAUACAUGCUCAUCAAGUGUUUGAUGAAAUGUCUGAGAGAGACCUUGUUUCUUGGUCAGUAUGAAUUCUGUUUAUUAUCAUGCUCAACAACCUUUUUUGGCGAUCAAGUUAUUUUCCCAAAUGAAACUUGUUCUUUCACAAGUAUUAUAGCAUUGGCACAAGGAAAAAAAAAUUAUGCUCGAGCAUUAAAAUUGUUCAGCAUCUGUUUCUUUUAUCUCUAAUGCACUUAUUUUGAUGUACAUGAAAUAUGGUCAGUGGAGCAAUUCUUUGAUGGUUUACAAUAUAAUGUUUGAACCAAAUGAUGUUUCUUUUAAUGCUUUGAUUUUUGGAUUUAUUGAAAAUCAACAAUCUGAGAAAAGUAUACAUAUACAUUAGUAAACUACAAUCAAGCUCAUGAUGAGUAGGUUGAAAUAAAGUAAAUUGUGUUGUCGCUGCAUGUGAAACUGCUCUACCUAGAGCUAUGAUUGGAUGAUUUGGUGAUGUGAUGAUGCUUGCACUUGAGUAAUUCUUGCUCAUGUAUUUCUUAAUGGAUGAUGAUUGUCAAUAAUUUUUUAUUUUGACGACUUUGUUUACUGCUGCAGCUGUCGUUUGUGAGCCACAGAUUGGAUGUUAUUGUUUGACGGUUGAUCCAAGUAUUUUGGUGAUGAAGAAAGUUUUUGAUUUGUAAUUUUUUUGAUAUGGUUUGCCGUUGGUUAACCAAUGGUUAACUAAUGGUUAACCAAUAAUUUUAGAUUUAAAAAAAGACGAUUUAGGUUUUGUUUGACAGUUACUAGGCGGUGGUGAAGGCGGAGGGGUUUAUAAUAAAAUUUUGUAAUUAUUUUUUUUGUUGGUUAACCAAUGGUUUAUUAAUGGUACACCAAUAAUUUUGUUUGUAAUACACUGUUAGUAAACGCUAGGUUAACUGUUGGAAACUUGUAAUAAUUUCUAUUAUGAUUGUAUGGUUAAUAAAUUGUUGGCAAACUUGAAUUGUGUAUUUUAAA